rnacentral:misc_RNA from 1 species
CUGGAAGCGUCUCACGGCGCACCCAGAAACCCUAUGUGAACCUUUACUAUAUGUUGCCUCGGCGCGAGCCGGGGGCUUCUAUAAGCCCCCCCUCCCCUCGGUGAGGAGCAGGCCCGCCGGCGGCCCUAUAAACUCUUGUUUUAACGUAUCUCUUCUGAGUACAAAUUAUAAAUGAAUCA